rnacentral:lncRNA from 1 species
AAAAUAUUGUGUUAAAUUACAGACAGCAACACAGUUUAGCCAAAGACAGUACAAACUCUAUGGUAGUUCAGUUCAGACGCAAACAUCCACCUCGAUAUGCCAAGAUGGAAGCAACUACAUCUGAACGUUGAUUGGACAGCAUAAAUUCCGGCACGUUUGCCAUUGGUUCACGUAAAUGGCAAUAACAAUCGUUACACAGCGUGGGUGAAGAAAUAACUUACGAAAACAUUUUAUUUAAUAAUACUUAUAGUCCAAGAUAAUAUAUAUAUAUUUAAAACAGAAUCGUCUGACAAACGUUUUAACCUAAUUGGUGAAAAUAAGCUUCCGGUUAUACGACGUCAUUAGUGGCUUCCGCUUCCGGUAAGAACAGAAAAGUUUAAACGAAGAUUGUAGAAAGAAACCAUGCACACAUUCGACACAGGGAUCCCUCACAGUGAAGCAUGAGGAUCAGAGUACAUACAGCUGGACUGUGGAAGUCUCUUUCUCCUACCCAGUCAACAGAAAACAUGUUCACACACAUCUAUGGAAUAGUUUUCCCAUACUUCUGUAAUCUGGAUGAAGACACAAACCACCCUCUGAAGCUGCUACCAGAGUAUGUCUCUGUAGCUGUUCAUUCAGAUCAGAACUGUUUCAGGGUCUGACAUCGCCAAGCUUCCUGAUGGCAAGGCAGACGAAUGCAAUUCUCUUUGAAACCGAAGAAUCUAUUGGAGAAGUGAACGGCGACUGAAUGUGCUUCAAGCUAAUUUUAAUAAUUUGAUAGACCUGUCCUUGUUGAUUCCCAAAUCUUUUUCCUCAAACAUUUAGUUUCCUAUCAGUCCUUGGCUUGAUGAAAUCGAUCUGAUAUUUUUUUUAUCAGAUAGUGUUGAAAGAGAAACAAUCGCAUUCAAUAAAAUCAAACUUUUUCAAUUGAGAUUGUAUUUUAAUAGACUGUGUUAUGGAUAUGCAUCCAUCACCUGUAGGGCUUGCCUUUCCUUUCCUGCUCACUGCACCCUUUACAGCACGGUCGUGUGCAAUGUUUUCAUAUGGAUGUUUUGAACGAGUUAUAGCACAUAUUUCAGUGUGAACUUUCUCUGCCGUGUCUGUGAUAAUGCCAGACGAAUGGCACAUCAUCAAACAUCGCUCUCAGGUGAGAGGGAAGCUAUCCAGAAGACUUUCACCAGGCGGAUAUAUAUGCACUUGGACAGGGUUAGAGUUGAGGCACCCCCUCUGAAACUACACUAACCAACUGUCUAGCCCUCUUGAGUUGUAGUCCUGCCAUUUUUAUAUUUGACAUUGAUGAGCUGAGUAGUGUGUCACUCAGGACCACUGUAGUGGAAAAAAUUGAUAUCAGAUGUGGAUCAACAUUUUUUUUCACCCAGUGUGCCCUUUAUCUGGAGAUAGAGGACUUGUUCACAGACAUGCAGGGUUCUCAUGGCUUUACUGGAGGAACUGACAGAGUGUAAACUGGUAAGGACCCAUCAGCCCGACUGUUGGUGGUCUAAUAUUGGCCAUGUUUCACUGGAGGUGUUCUGAUAUAGGCCUACUGUACAUUGUUUGUUUUGCUGUUACAGUAGCCUAUGUUGUUGUGCGUUCCCCACAGUUAACUAAUGCAAUUUU